UGGGGAAUAUUGGACAAUGGGCGCAAGCCUGAUCCAGCCAUGCCGCGUGAGUGAUGAAGGCCCUAGGGUUGUAAAGCUCUUUCGCCAGGGACGAUAAUGACGGUACCUGGAUAAGAAGCCCCGGCUAACUUCGUGCCAGCAGCCGCGGUAAUACGAAGGGGGCUAGCGUUGUUCGGAAUCACUGGGCGUAAAGCGCACGUAGGCGGAUCUUUAAGUCAGGGGUGAAAUCCCGAGGCUCAACCUCGGAACUGCCUUUGAUACUGGAGGUCUCGAGUCCGGGAGAGGUGAGUGGAACUGCGAGUGUAGAGGUGAAAUUCGUAGAUAUUCGCAAGAACACCAGUGGCGAAGGCGGCUCACUGGCCCGGUACUGACGCUGAGGUGCGAAAGCGUGGGGAGCAAAACAGGAUUAGAUACCCUGGUAGUCCACGCCGUAAACUAUGGAUGCUAGCCGUUGGGCAGCUUGCUGUUCAGUGGCGCAGCUAACGCUUUAAGCAUCCCGCCUGGGGAGUACGGUCGCAAGAUUAAAACUCAAAGGAAUUGACGGGGUCAUAGCUGUUUCCU
rnacentral:rRNA from 1 species